GCUUUUGGCAUCUCCAUUCAUUCCGGAACAGCCAGUCAGCCCUCUCUGCUGUGUCCCAGAGCACCAGGAAGUGAGUAACAGUCCUAGAGUGAGACAUGGAGGAUACAGCCAAGUAUCAGAGGAGUGCUGGCUCGCUGCUGCUUCUACACGUCACCGUACUGGGGGAAUCCUAUGUGAAGCCGCCCCAUGUCCUGUCUGCCUGGAUACUCACCAUGCAGAUAGCUCUCUGCAUUCAGCAGGGUCUGGCUUAGGCCCUCUCCUGGGGGCCGGAGACCCCUCUGUUCUUCUCCAGACCCUGCAGAAUUCUGGAGAGGAGAGGAAGGUGGAACACACACUUUCUUCCUGCUUUUCUAGGUUGCUGGGUCAUCUCUCUCCUUCUUUUAGCUACGAACUCACAGUCCACCCACUUCUUCUUCUUUACAAGCCCCUUGGGUCCUCCAAGAACCAAAGUAAAAAAAUGCUUUAAAAAUGCGCAGGUCCAUUCUACUUCCACCCUGCCAUGUAGCUUCCCUGAAGUGACGCUGCACAGGUUCUUCCAUCUGCUUGUGGGGGAGGAGUUUCAUCUGCUUGUGGAAAAUAAAAGGCAAGCAAGGGGUACAACUUAAUUUUUUUUUUCUUUUGACAACUUAAUUUUUUUUUUCUCUUGAGACGGAGUCUCGCUCUAUCACCAGGCUGGAGUGCAGUGGCGCAAUUUCGGCUCACUGCAACCUCCACCUUCCGGGUUCAAGUGAUUCUCCUACCUCAGCCUCCUGAGUAGCUGGGACUACAGGUCCCUGCCACCAUGCCCGGCUAAUUUUUGUAUUUUUAGUAGAGAUGGGGUUUCACCAUGUUGGCCUGGCUGGUCUCAAUCUCUUGACCUCAUGAUCCACCCACCUUGGCCUCCCAAAGUUCUGGGAUUACAGGCGUGAGCCACCACGCCUGGGCGGGAUACAACUUAACAUUUUUUUUAAAAAAUAAUAUUUAGGAAAAACAAUCAUAAAGAUAUUGAUUAUAAAAGCCCACGAUUUUGGUAUAAAUUUGUCCACCUGAAAUAAUCAAAGAAAGAGAAUCCCAUUUCCAAGAGUUUAUUCAAAUGAAAAGCUGGGAAAACCCUUUCAUCUUGGUAAGUGUAGGAGUGGGAGAAAUAGCAUGCUUAAGUCAUUUAUUUAUAGACAGCCAUCCAGUUCUUAGAAUAUACUCACUGUAUUCACACAACACUGUUUUUGAGGCCUACUAAUAGUGCUUUAUUUGUAUGUAUGUAUGCAUAUAUGUGCACAAAUAUCUAUUUUCUAUAGAAUAUAUAGUUAAUAUAGCUAUAUUGCAUCAUGAUGAAAUUGUGUGUAAUUGCUAUAAUAUAUAUAAAGAAAAAUAUAUACAUCUAUAUAAAUGUAUAAAAUAAACACAAUCAGAAAAUAAACACACGCAAGCAAAAAACAGAUGCAAAUACAUUUAUACUAGGGACCAUUGGGUCCUCUUGCCACCUGCAAAUACAUUUACAUAAAAUUGUAUGUAAAAGCUAUGAUAUAUACAGAGAAAUAUAUAUAUGUAUAUCAAUAUAAAUGUAUACAAUAAACACAACCAUGUCUUAUGCAUAAAUUCUCCAAGUAAAAGCCAUCUAAAUUUAGCAUACUUUGCAGUACAAUAAAUGUUGCAAAUAAGA